rnacentral:rRNA from 1 species
UACGAAGGGGGCUAGCGUUGCUCGGAAUCACUGGGCGUAAAGCGCACGUAGGCGGACUCUUAAGUCGGUGGUGAAAUCCUGGAGCUCAACUCCAGAACUGCCUUCGAUACUGGGAGUCUUAGAGUCCGGGAGAGGUGAGUGGAACUCCGAGUGUAGAGGUGAAAUUCGUAGAUAUUCGGAAGAACACCAGUGGCGAAGGCGGCUCACUGGCCCGGUACUGACGCUGAGGUGCGAAAGCGUGGGGAGCAAACAGG